GGAUGUGAGGGUGAUCGGAGUGGGACAUCUGCCAUGCCAUUGAUCUCCAGGGUUGAUUCCGCUGAACUGGCUGGCUAGGUGGGUGUCUCCUUCCUUCCUCAGUACUCCAUGUGCAUCCCUCCCCAAGCUGUGUGCUCGGUCGAAGAUGAUGCCCACCCCCAGGAAAGGAGGACCAUUGCGUGGUCAAGGGUAUAAGAGUAGCGGCACUCCCCUGCUAGAAAUUCCAAAUGAGCUCUCAAAAAUUACCUCUUCUCAUGAGACCUACUAAUUCUGUAUUUUUCAUAUAUCUUCGAGUGCCAAAGUCAAAUCGUAGUCUUAAUUUCUC
rnacentral:snRNA from 1 species